AGCAGCCGCGGUAAUUCCAGCUCCAAUAGCGUAUAUUAAAGUUGUUGCAGUUAAAAAGCUCGUAGUUGAAUUUCGGGGUUAGUAGGUUGGUCGUGCCACUGGUACGUACUGGUCUCACUGAUUCCUCCUUCCUGAUGAACUGUAAUGCCAUUAAUUUGGUGUUGCAGGGAAACUGGACUGUUACUUUGAAAAAAUUAGAGUGUUUAAAGCAAGCUAACGCUUGAAUACAUUAGCAUGGAAUAAUGAAAUAGGACGUUCGAUCCUAUUUUGUUGGUUUCUAGGAUUGACGUAAUGAUUAAUAGGGAUAGUUGGGGGCAUUAGUAUUCAAUUGUCAGAGGUGAAAUUCUUGGAUUUAUUGAAGACUAACUACUGCGAAAGCAUUUGCCAAGGAUGUUUUCAUUAAUCAAGAACGAAAGUUAGGGGAUCGAAGACGAUCAGAUACCGUCGUAGUCUUAACCAUAAACUAUGCCGACUAGGGAUCGGAUGAUGUUAAUUUUUUAAUGACUUAUUCGGCGCCUUA
rnacentral:misc_RNA from 1 species